rnacentral:rRNA from 1 species
ACGCUGGCGGCGUGCCUAAUACAUGCAAGUCGAGCGAGCUGAAUUCAAAGAUCCCUUCGGGGUGAUUUGUUGGACGCUAGCGGCGGAUGGGUGAGUAACACGUGGGCAAUCUGCCCUAAAGACUGGGAUACCACUUGGAAACAGGUGCUAAUACCGGAUAACAACAUGAAUCGCAUGAUUCAAGUUUGAAAGGCGGCGUAAGCUGUCACUUUAGGAUGAGCCCGCGGCGCAUUAGCUAGUUGGUGGGGUAAAGGCCUACCAAGGCAAUGAUGCGUAGCCGAGUUGAGAGACUGAUCGGCCACAUUGGGACUGAGACACGGCCCAAACUCCUACGGGAGGCAGCAGUAGGGAAUCUUCCACAAUGGACGCAAGUCUGAUGGAGCAACGCCGCGUGAGUGAAGAAGGUUUUCGAAUCGUAAAGCUCUGUUGUUGGUGAAGAAGGAUAGAGGCAGUAACUGGUCUUUAUUUGACGGUAAUCAACCAGAAAGUCACGGCUAACUACGUGCCAGCAGCCGCGGUAAUACGUAGGUGGCAAGCGUUGUCCGGAUUUAUUGGGCGUAAAGCGAGCGCAGGCGGAAUGAUAAGUCUGAUGUGAAAGCCCACGGCUCAACCGUGGAACUGCAUCGGAAACUGUCAUUCUUGAGUGCAGAAGAGGAGAGUGGAACUCCAUGUGUAGCGGUGGAAUGCGUAGAUAUAUGGAAGAACACCAGUGGCGAAGGCGGCUCUCUGGUCUGCAACUGACGCUGAGGCUCGAAAGCAUGGGUAGCGAACAGGAUUAGAUACCCUGGUAGUCCAUGCCGUAAACGAUGAGCGCUAGGUGUUGGGGACUUUCCGGUCCUCAGUGCCGCAGCAAACGCAUUAAGCGCUCCGCCUGGGGAGUACGACCGCAAGGUUGAAACUCAAAGGAAUU